rfam:Agrilus planipennis Contig39339, whole genome shotgun sequence.
AUUUUACAUCCCUUAUUAUUUAAAUUGGCUGAAGAGGACCAACUACACUGGUACUAAAACAGCCUGAGGUAGAGGGGUUUUAGUUGGUAGGCGCUCCUUUAGAGUGAAUCCAACACUACCCUGUCGUACGAACAGCAGGGUAUCUUUUGAAGAUUUCCCCUCUUCCACGAAA